GAUCAGGUAGGGGUACCCGCUGA
rnacentral:rRNA from 1 species